rnacentral:misc_RNA from 1 species
GGGAGAUCGAUCAUCGGCGGCGCCGCUGCCGGAGCCGUCUUCGGGUGCGGAGGAUAAGUUACGGCGAUUUGCGGCAAAGGGGAGAUUCCACUGUAGAAGAGGAGAGGAGGGGGAGACUCUGAGGAGGCGGCGCAGUGCGGCGGCGGAAGAUGAGAGCGCCAUGGCGGUGAGCUGCGAUCGGGUUCUCAGUGAAACCCUAAACCCUUGCUGAAAUGGAGGCGGCGGG